rnacentral:rRNA from 1 species
UACGGAGGGAGCUAGCGUUGUUCGGAAUUACUGGGCGUAAAGCGCACGUAGGCGGCUUUGUAAGUUAGAGGUGAAAGCCCAGUGCUCAACACUGGAACUGCCUUUAAGACUGCAUCGCUUGAAUCCAGGAGAGGUGAGUGGAAAUUCCGAGUGUAGAGGUGAAAUUCGUAGAUAUUCGGAAGAACACCAGUGGCGAAGGCGGCUCACUGGCUCGUUUCUGACGCUCAGGCGCGAUAGCGUGGGGAUCAAACGG